rnacentral:rRNA from 1 species
CACCCCUAAAAGCCACUAAAGUGUGCCAAUAUGAAUAUCCAUUCACGUCAGGUCAAAGUGCAGCUAAUGAUAAGGUGAUGAUGGGUUACAACCUAAAAAUAGACUACGGAAUAUAACAUUAAAAGCUAUACAAAGGAGGACUUGGAUGUAAUACUGAUCUCAUAUCACAAUGAAUAUGAAUCUAAGACAUGCACACAUCGCCCGUCACUCUCGCCUAAAGGCGAGAUAAGUCGUAACAAAGUAGGUGUAACGGAAGUUGCACCUGU